AGGGCAAGUCUGGUGCCAGCAGCCGCGGUAAUUCCAGCUCCAAUAGCGUAUAUUAAAGUUGUUGCAGUUAAAAAGCUCGUAGUUGAAUUUCGGGGUUAGUAGGUUGGUCAUGCCACUGGUAUGUACUGAUCUUACUGAUUCCUCCUUCCUGAUGAACCGUAAUGCCAUUAAUUUGGUGUUGCGGGGAGACUGGACUGUUACUUUGAAAAAAUUAGAGUGUUUAAAGCAGGCUAACGCUUGAAUACAUUAGCAUGGAAUAAUGAAAUAGGACGUUCGAUCCUAUUUUGUUGGUUUCUAGGAUUGACGUAAUGAUUAAUAGGGAUAGUUAGGGGCAUUAGCAUUCAAUUGUCAGAGGUGAAAUUCUUGGAUUUAUUGAAGACUAACUACUGCGAAAGCAUUUGCCAAGGAUGUUUUCAUUAAUCAAGAACGAAAGUUAGGGGAUCGAAGACGAUCAGAUACCGUCGUAGUCUUAACCAUAAACUAUGCCGACUAGGGAUCGGAUGAUGUUAAUUUUUUAAUGACUCAUUCGGCGCCUUACGGGAA
rnacentral:rRNA from 1 species